GUAAUUUUUAUACGACCGCAAAAAAAUUUUGUGGUCGUAUAUUGGUAUGACGUUGGCGUCGUCGUCGUCGUCGUCCGAAGACACAUUGGUUUUCGCACUCUAACUUUAGUUUAAGUGAAUGGAUCUCUAUGAAAUUUUACCAUAAGGUUCAAUACCACAAAAGGAAGGUGGGGAUUGAUUUUGGGGGUUAUGGUACUAACAGUUAAGGAAUUAGGGGCCAAAAGGGGCCAAAAAUAAGCAUUUUUGUAACUUCCAGACAUAACUUGUGUGUUAGUGUAUGGAUCUCUCUGACAUUGUACCACAAGGUUCCAUAUCACAAAGGGAAUGCUGGGAUUGAUUUGGGGGUAAUUGUCUCCAAAUUUUAGGAAUUAGGGGCCAAAAAGGGGCAAAAAACAAGCAUUUUUCUAGUUUCAUGACAAUAACUUGUUUGUAAGUGUAUGGAUCUUUAUGAAAUUGUACUACAAGGUUCCAUAUCACAAAGGGAAUACUGGGAUUGAUUUUUUGGGUAAUUUCCUCCAAAUAUUAGGAAUUAGGGGCAAAAAAGGGGCAAAAAACAAGCAUUUUUCUAGUUUCAUGACAAUAACUUGUUUGUAAGUGUAUGGAUCUUUAUGAAAUUGUACUACAAGGUUCCAUAUCACAAAGGGAAGGCUGGGAUUGAUUUUGGGGGUUUUCCCUCAAAAUUUUAGUAAUUAGGGGCCAUAAAAGGGCAAAAAAAACAUGCAUUUUUCUAGUUUCAGGACAAUAACUUGUGUGUAAGUGUAUGGAUCUUUAUGAAAUUGUACUGCAAGGUUCCAUAUCACAAAGGGAAAGCUGGAAUUGAGUUUGGGGGUAAUUGCCCUAAACGUUUAGGAAUUUGGGGCCAAAAAGGGGCCAAAAAACAAGCAUUUUUCUAGUUUCCAGACAAUAACUUGUGUUCAAGUGUAUGAAUCUCUCUGAAAUUGUACUGCAAGGUACCAUACCACAAAGGGAAAGCUGGGAUUGAGUUUGGGGGCGAUGAAUCAUAAGGGGGUUCAAAAAAUUGGGGGGGGGGGUUUUUUUUUUCCUUUUUUUUCUUUAACAUUUUCCAUUUUAAAUUGGUUAUUUCUGAUUUAUAUAUAAAAGCAAAUAAUAAUGAUAUGGUUUGAAUAGGCAUACAUGUGAACCUCCCGACGGGAGUACAAUAAUCCCGUUUUCAGGGGUCUCCUCCCCCCUCCCGUUGAAAAAAUCCCGUGUAUGAAAUUUUUCAUGAAUGAAAAAUUUCUGCCCAACAUAACAUCUCAGGCAUCUGGUGUAACUGACAUUACCUGAAGUUAUAUUUUACCUGUAAAUCAAUUAACAUGCAUAAUUAUAUGGCUUCACUUGUCAGCUUGGGUGUCAAACAUACUGGUAAGCAACGAUUUUUACCUCAGGCUAACUGCCGUUGUGUAACAAAAACUGUGUAUUUAUUGGGUUACUUCCCUUGAUUUAUCCUGUUUUAAGUUACUUUCCUUUUAAUAAUGAAAAUUUUUAAAAGAAUAUAAAUAAAAUAUAAAUUGAACAAAUAAUCAUAAAAGGAUGGUUAUUAAAUGAUUUUAAAUGUCUUAGGACAAAUAAAAAAAUAAUAAUUUGAAAAUUAUUUGAGGAUUCUAUACUUCCUUUUAAGGCUUAAAUUGAAAUUUAUAUAAUAACUAUGACCCUAACUUUACAGAUAGAAUGAAUUUCUGAGUUUGCAAAUAAA